GGCCGCGCGGCGGGGCUGGUGACGGGCGGCGCUGACGGCGCCUACGUGUCACCAUGGAAACCAAACAGUAAACAGAGGAUUCGGGCGCUCCUGACGCGGCCUGACCGGACGACCUGCCCUGGAGCAAAGGGUCAGAAGCUGGGGAGGGCCGGGCGGAACCUGGGCCUAGCGCCCCUUCCGGGAGGCCCCUGGGAGUCAGCGCGACCUGUUGCAACCCUGGAGCCAGCAGCGGCAGGCCAUUGUGCUGCCUUCUCUUCAGAUCUGCUGUUUAAACACAGUGUUGUGUGCUACCAGAGUCAGACACUGCAUUCAAAAUGAUCACAGCGAUUCCGAACUAUUACAGACCUUUAAAGUGAAGGCACAUAGCAAAGUCCGUGUGUUGGGAACCAGCUGUUGGUGUAACUGGGAGUUUACUUCCAUGUAGAAUACAUUGCUUUAAAUGGCACUGGGCCAAGUCUGGGGAUCCAUUGGUGAGCUAAACUAGACCUUCUCCCCAUAAGGAAACAACCCCUUCCGAUCCUUAUUCCCGUCCCUGCUAAUAUAAUAUAUUUAUUUAUUCUGUACCAGCAUUGAACGAUGGUGCCCUGGGAUAGUUGUAUUCUUGAGACCAGUGGAAGGCCAUAUCUCGUGGAUAGGGAGCAGAGUCUUUCCCAAAAGGAAGUUGACAUUCCCAGUGUCUAUCAUCCAUGGAAGUUGUUGAAUCGUGAGUCGGGAAAGGAGGACUUGGAAGGAGCCCUUUGGCUGGAAAGAGAGGGAAUUCCUUUCUCCUCUUGAUCCCGUGAGGAGGGUUGGCAGGGAGCUUGGUGGAAUGUCAGCCCUAUGGGGGACCCUACAAUAGGCCUCUGAGAAGCCUGUUACAGAGACUACCUGUGUGCAGGUGCUCUCCCUGGACCUUCAGUGCAGUCUUGUUGAUGCAGCAGCCUGGUCUCAGCUGGGCCAUGGUAACUAGAGGAAGGGUCUGUGUCCAGGCCGAGGUCAAGGCUGUCAAAUGGAAAGCAAUGGUCUGUCUUUAUAGCCAGCAUGAGGCUUACAGGGGCCAUUA